rnacentral:rRNA from 1 species
UCAGUUCGGAUUGCAGGCUGCAACUCGCCUGCAUGAAGCUGGAAUUGCUAGUAAUCGCGGAUCAGCAAGCCGCGGUGAAUACGUUCCCGGGCCUUGUACACACCGCCCGUCACACCAUGAGAGUCGGGAACACCCGAAGUCCGUAGUCUAACCGCAAGGGGGGCGCGGCCGAAGGUGGGUCCGGUAAUUGGGGUGAAGUCGUAACAAGGUAAC